UCUCCUGUUCAUUCAAAGAAGCCACAGCGAAAGUCCCUGCCUAAAUUGCCUUCUCAGAAAAGCAGUUUAUCCAACGCAACAAACGAUGAAAAAGCUGCAUCAUCUAAAGCAACAAAUGUGGAAAAUGCCACCUCGUCUAAUCAAUUGAAUGAAGAUGCAUCUCCAACCCAAGAGGUUCCUAUGGCUGUAUCUAGUGAAAUCCGGUCCCACAAAGAUGAGGAGCUAGUUGUUGGAGAGGAAGGUCAGCCUAAUUUAGUGCAAGAACCUAUAGCAUCCGAGUGUUAAUCAGAGCAACAUUAGAAUCGGAUGCGCUUACAUAGGCCUUGAAUCGGUGUCCGUAAAUAAGAGUUCAAGACUUGAAUCAUCUCACAAUGGAGCAAUGAAGGAUAUUACAGUAUGGAUUGUGAUGUCAUGUUUUUCAGUAGUCAGCAGCAUUGAUUGUUUUGUGUGCCUGCUUUCAAGGUUACUGAUCUUCUCAUUAGGAUUCUUCAUUCUGCUUGCAGCAUUGUGUGUUACCAUUUGCUAAAUUUACCUUAUUUAUGUU
rnacentral:misc_RNA from 1 species